rnacentral:rRNA from 1 species
UACGUAGGGUGCGAGCGUUAAUCGGAAUUACUGGGCGUAAAACGUGCGCAGGCGGUUCGUUAAGUUCGAUGUGAAAGCCCCGGGCUCAACCUGGGAACUGCAUUGGAAACUGGCGAGCUUGAAUGCGGCAGAGGGGGGUGGAAUUCCGCGUGUAGCAGUGAAAUGCGUAGAGAUGCGGAGGAACACCGAUGGCGAAGGCAGCCCCCUGGGCCGACAUUGACGCUCAGGCACGAAAGCGUGGGGAGCAAACAGG